GCUAGCAAUGUGCCACGACGGUUCAGCCGUUUUGGGCGGUGAGGUGGCUGCUGUCGGAUCCGAAGGACCGCUGUAGUCGUCGUCGCUGUCCGAAAUGCGGUGCACUCUUUCGUGGUACGCGUCAGCGUCGGUUCGCAGCGGGCGAUAAGGCCUUGUGGAAGGUAGCUAGGGGCCUUGCCCCUAGUGUUAUAGACGCAGGAGCUGGGCUCGCUGCGGACCGAGGAGAGAGAGUAUCGUUGCAGCGCAUGCCGCAAGGCUAGCUACCUGCCGUCUGUCUCGCUUCACGGACUGAGGACUGCACGCAGUGCUCGGAUUGGCGGAGUGGUCCGGCGGUGGAGUGGUAUAAAUGCGCUCAGGACGCUGGCGUCCAAAUGGCCGUGCGCGACCCGUCUUGAAACACGGACCAAGGAGUCUAACAUGUGCGCGAGUCUUUGGGUGGAAAAACCCGUGGGCGCAAUGAAAGUGAAGGCCUCUCACGAGGCUGAGGUGAGAGCUGGUGCUGCGGUGCCAGUGCAUCAUCGACCGGUCCAGUCUUCUCCAAGGCGGAUCCGAGUAAGAGCGUAUUUGUUGGGACCCGAAAGAUGGUGAACUAUGCCUGAAUAGGGUGAAGCCAGAGGAAACUCUGGUGGAGGCUCGUAGCGAUUCUGACGUGCAAAUCGAUCGUCAAAUUUGGGUAUAGGGGCGAAAGACUAAUCGAACCAUCUAGUAGCUGGUUCCCUCCGAAGUUUCCCUCAGGAUAGCUGGAACUCGUAACACAGUUUUAUCAGGUAAAGCGAAUGAUUAGAGGUCUUGGGGGUGAAACACCCUCAACCUAUUCUCAAACUUUAAAUAGGUAAGAAGCGUGACUUGCUUGACUGAAGCCACGCGUUUCAAUGUGAGUUCCAAGUGGGCCAUUUUUGGUAAGCAGAACUGGCGAUGCGGGAUGAACCGAACGCUCGGUUAAGGUGCCUAAGUCGACGCUCAUCAGACCCCAGAAAAGGUGUUGGUUGAUAUAGACAGCAGGACGGUGGCCAUGGAAGUCGGAAUCCGCUAAGGAGUGUGUAACAACUCACCUGCCGAAUCAACUAGCCCUGAAAAUGGAUGGCGCUCAAGCGUCGCACCUAUACCGGGCCGUUGCUGUAAAUGCCAUGCGGCAACGAGUAGGAGGGCGCGGCGGUCGUGACGCAGCCUUUGGCGUGAGCCUGGGUCAAACGGCCGCUGGUGCAGAUCUUGGUGGUAGUAGCAAAUAUUCAAAUGAGAGCUUUGAAGACCGAAGUGGAGAAAGGUUCCAUGUGAACAGCAGUUGGACAUGGGUUAGUCGAUCCUAAGAGAUAGGGGAGCUCCGUUCUGAAGUGUGCGACCUCGCACCGCCUAUCGAAAGGGAAUCGGGUUAAUAUUCCCGAACCAGAACGCGGAUAUUGGCUUUCGGGUCAGGAGCGGCAACGCAACCGAACUGGGAGACGUUGGCGGGAGCUCCGGGAAGAGUUUUCUUUUCUUUUUAACGAGCYAUCACCCUGGAAUCGGUUUGCCCGGAGAUAGGGUUCACUGGCUCGGUAAAGCAAAACACUUCUUGUUUUGUCCGGUGCGCUCCCGACGGCCCUUGAAAAUCCCAGGGAGUGAUUAAUUUUCGUGUCUGGUCGUACUCAUAACCGCAGCAGGUCUCCAAGGU
rnacentral:rRNA from 1 species